rnacentral:rRNA from 1 species
CCCUUAGAUGUUCUGGGCCGCACGCGCGCUACACUGAUGCAUUCAACGAGCCUAUCCUUGACCGACAGGUCCGGGUAAUCUUUGAAUCUGCAUCGUGACGGGGAUAGAUUAUUGCAAUUAUUAAUCUUCAACGAGGAAUGCCUAGUAGGCGCAAGUCAUCAGCUUGCGUCGAUUACGUCCCUGCCCUUUGUACACACCGCCCGUCGCUCCUACCGAUUGGGUGUGCUGGUGAAAUGUUCGGAUCGGCCGUUUGUCGCGGUUUCCGCGUCAUGUGGCUGAGAAGUACAUUAAGCCCUCCCACCUAGAGGAAGGAGAAGUCGUAACA